UCAGAUUGAACGCUGGCGGCAGGCCUAACACAUGCAAGUCGAGCGCGAACGUUCCUUCGGGAACAAGUAGAGCGGCGGACGGGUGAGUAACGCGUGGGAAAUUGCCCAGUAGUGGGGGACAACAUUCGGAAACGGAUGCUAAUACCGCAUACGCCCUACGGGGGAAAGCAGGGGAUCUUCGGACCUUGCGCUAUUGGAUAUGCCCGCGUCGGAUUAGCUAGUUGGUGAGGUAAUGGCUCACCAAGGCAACGAUCCGUAGCUGGUCUGAGAGGAUGAUCAGCCACACUGGGACUGAGACACGGCCCAGACUCCUACGGGAGGCAGCAGUGGGGAAUAUUGGACAAUGGGCGCAAGCCUGAUCCAGCCAUGCCGCGUGUGUGAAGAAGGCCCUAGGGUUGUAAAGCACUUUCAGUAGGGAGGAAGGCCUUAAAGUUAAUACCUUUGAGGAUUGACGUUACCUACAGAAGAAGCACCGGCUAACUCCGUGCCAGCAGCCGCGGUAAUACGGAGGGUGCGAGCGUUAAUCGGAAUUACUGGGCGUAAAGCGCGCGUAGGCGGUUAGUUAAGCUGGAUGUGAAAGCCCCGGGCUCAACCUGGGAACUGCAUUCAGAACUGGCUGGCUAGAGUACGAGAGAGGGUAGUGGAAUUUCCUGUGUAGCGGUGAAAUGCGUAGAUAUAGGAAGGAACAUCAGUUGGCGAAGGCGACUGCCUGGCUCGAUAC
rnacentral:rRNA from 1 species